AUUGAACGCUAGCGGGAUGCUUUACACAUGCAAGUCGAAAGAGUGGCGGACGGUGAGUAAUAUAUCGGAACGUGCCCAGUAGAGGGGGGUAACUACUCGAACGAGUGGCCCAUAUCGCAUAUCAUUGGUGCGGCCGAUAUAGGAAUAACCAGUUGUUGGGGUAAAGGCUCACCAAGGCAACGAUGCGUAGCUGGUUUAAGAGGACGACCAGCCACACUGGGACUAAGACCCGGCCCAGACUCCUACGGUAGGCAGCAGUUUGGAAUUUUGGCCGAUGGUGGAAACCCUGAUCCAGCCAUCCCUCGUGUAUGAUAAGGCCUUCGGGUUGUAAAGUACUUUUGGCAGAUAAGCGGGAUCAGCAGAAUAAGCACCGGCCAACUACGGGCCAGCAGCCGCGGUAAUUC
rnacentral:rRNA from 1 species